CAAUGCGAGCUGAGCAGACAGGGCUGCAAGGAAAUCUGGCGCGGUUCAAUACCUCAUCUAGUCUGGGUUCCAGUAUCUAAUUUUUUUUUACUGACAAACUCAUUUCUCUACCGGGACAGGAUGCUGUGCUGGCUGGGAGUUCCAUUUCUACAGCAAGAAUCCUAUCUGGAAACAGAGAAGUUGUCCUCUAAGCCACAGCAGCUCGAACUUUUUUGAUUGUUGUUGCUGCUUUCUCCCAUCACCCCCACCCCCUUUUGACAAAGAUCCAACUGUAAAAAGUCUUACGUAACAGUUCAGGACUACUUCGGUUCUUUUACUGGUAUAUCAAGAGGCCUCAAGAGGACUAUGAAAACAUUUACAUCUCCAACUCAGAGCAAUGUGGGUUUCACAAUAUUUCGUAGUUACCUCUGGAAAAGGAAAGAAAGGAGUACAGUGGGUCCUCCGUAUCCAAGAUGUGGAGGACCAACGAUACUGCACCAUUUUAUAUAAGGGACUUGAGCAUCCUCGGAUUCUGGUGUCCAAGGAGGAUCCUGGAAUCAAUUCCUGUGGAUACCGAGGGACAACUGUAAAUAGCUGAGGCAAAACAGUAGAGUAAAAAAGAAAUAAAUGGUUUGGGAUAGUAUGGAGUUAGAAAACCUGAAUUUAAUUCCAAUUUCUACCAUGGUUAUGUGUUCUUGGACAAGUGAGUCACCUCUUAAGCCUUAAUUCUCCAUGAAAAGAGACUAAGUAUACCUCUCCUAUCUUCACAGUAUUGUUGUGAGGCCUCAGAGAGAGCACAGUGAAAAAAUGUGCUGCAAACAGCACACCGCAGUACAGCCCAAUGCAUCCUGGUCUUUGACGGUACUACUCCAUGGCUUAUCCCCACUUUUAGUAGAUAAGAUUCCCUGACUCCCCAAACUCUCACCUACUUGUCAACCAGAAGCACGUAUUUGCAAGAUGUCUAGCUGAGGUUAUUAAUCUAUAACCUGGGGCUGAAUGCAGGCAUUUUUCUGUAUAUAUGUGUCACCAGCAUAGACAGUCCAUCAGAGCCACAAUCUAUUUAUUUAGGUCUUUGUAAACUUCUCUCAGAAAUAUUUUAGUUUUUAGUGUACAAAUCUUACACUUCUUUUGUUAAAUUUAUUCCUAAGUAUUUUAUUCUUUUGAUGCAAUCGUGAAUGGAAUUGUUUUCUCACUUUCAUUUCUGGACCGUUGCUAGCUAUAAAAAUACAACUGAUUUUUGUAUAUUGAUCUGGUAUCCUGUGACCUUGCUAAACUCAAUUAGUUCUACUUGUUUUGCGUUUUUUUUUGUGAAUUAUUUAGGAUUAUAUAUAGGAUUAUGUCACCUAUGAAUAAAAACAGUUUUAAGACAUCCAAUUUAGAUGCCUUCCUCCCUAACCCCCACAUUACUGUACUAGCUAGAACCUCCAGUGAAUGUUGAAAAGAAGUAGUAAGAGCACAUUCUUACCUACCUUAUUCCCAAUCUUAGGGGAAAGGUACUUAUAUUUACCCAAUUAAGUAUUAUGUUAGCUUUAGGCUCUUCAUAGAUGCCCUUGGUCAAAUUGCAGAAGUUGCCUUCUAUUCCUAGUUUGUUGGGAGAUUUUGAUCGUGAAUGGGUAUUGAAUUUUGUCAAAUGUUUUUCCUGUGUCUACUCAGAUGAUCAUGUGGGGCUUUUUAACCUUUAUUUUAUUAGACUUAUUUUAUGGCCCAGAAUACUCUUAGAGACUGUUUCAUGUGUACUUGAA